rnacentral:rRNA from 1 species
AACGAACGCUGGCGGCAUGCCUAACACAUGCAAGUCGAACGAUGCCUUCGGGCAUAGUGGCGCACGGGUGCGUAACGCGUGGGAAUCUGCCUUUCGGUUCGGAAUAACUCAGGGAAACUUGAGCCAAUACCGGAUAACGUCGCAAGACCAAAGAUUUAUCACCGAAAGAUGAGCCCGCGUAGGAUUAGCUAGUUGGUGAGGUAAAGGCUCACCAAGGCGACGAUCCUUAGCUGGUCUGAGAGGAUGAUCAGCCACACUGGGACUGAGACACGGCCCAGACUCCUACGGGAGGCAGCAGUGGGGAAUAUUGGACAAUGGGCGAAAGCCUGAUCCAGCAAUGCCGCGUGAGUGAUGAAGGCCUUAGGGUUGUAAAGCUCUUUUACCCGGGAAGAUAAUGACGGUACCGGGAGAAUAAGCCCCGGCUAACUCCGUG